AUCGCUUCUCGGCCUUUUGGCUAAGAUCAAAGUGUAGUAUCUGUUCUUUUCAGCUUAAUAUCUGAAAGUUCCCGCACUGCGGGACCAGUAUAUUAAACUGAUUUUUGUAAAGCGACGGGAUGUUCGGGGCUCGCUCCACUCCCGUC
rnacentral:snRNA from 1 species